CCCCCAUAUCCCCUUCCUCCACCUCUGCCUCGCCCCUCAGCCCCUUUGCCCUCCCCAGUCCCAGGUGAGCUGACGACACAAUGAGAGCAGAAACACCAGACCCAUAUUAAUCCAUUGAUCUGAAUAUGAACAAUCCAUGCAUCUUAAUGAGCUAAAAACACAGAGCCAAGUCAAACACAAGGGCUAGACACACACACACACACACACACACACACACACACACACACACACACACAGGGCCAGACACCCACACACAGGGCCAGACACACACACACACACACACACAGGGCCAGGCACACAAACACACACAGACACGCAGGGCAAGACACACACACACAGGGCCAGGCACACACACACAGGGCCAGGCACACACACACAGGGCCAGGCACACAGACACACACACAGGGCCAGACACACAGACACACACACAGGGCCAGACACACAGACACACACACAGGGCCAGACACACAGACACACACACACACACACACACACACACACACACACACACACACACACACACACACACACACACACACACACACACACAGGGCCAGACACACACACACACACAGGGCCAGACACACACACACACACACACACACACACACACACAGGGCCAGACACACACACACACACACACACACACACACACACACACACACACACACACACACAGGGCCAGACACACACACACAGGGCCAGACACACACACACACACACACACACACACACACACACACACACACAUAGGGCCAGACACACACACACACAUACACACACACAGGGCCAGACACACACACACACACACACACAGACACACAGGGCAAGACAAACACAUACAGGGCCAGGCACACACACACACACACACACACACACAAACACACACACACACAGGGUCAGACACACACGCAGGGCCAAACACACAUACACACACAGGGCCAGACACACACACACAGACAGGGCCAGACACACACACACAGACAGGGCCAGACACACACACACAGGGCUAGGCACACAAACACACACAGACACACAGGGCAAGACACACACACACAGGGCCAGGCACACACACACAGGGCCAGGCACACACACACACACACACACACACACACACAGGACCAAGCACACACACACACACACAGGGCCAGACACACACACACAGACAGGGCCAGACACACACACACAGGGCCAGGCACACAAACACACACAGACAAACAGGGCAAGACACACACACACAGGGCCAGGCACACACACACACACACACACAGGGCCAGACACACAGACACACACACACACACACACAGGGCCAAGCACACACACACACACACACACAGGGCCAGACACACACACACACACAGGGCCAGACACACACACACACACACACACACACACAGGGCCAGACACACACACACAGGGCCAGACACACACACACACACACACACACACACACACAGGGCCAGACACACACACACAGGGCCAGACACACACACACACACACACAGGGCCAGACACACACACACACACAGGGCCAGGCACAUACACAGACACACAGGGCAAGACACACACACACGGGACCAGGCACACACACAUAGGGCCAAACACACACACACACAGGGCCAGGCACACACACACAGGGCCAGGCACACACACACAGGGCCAGGCACACACACACACACACACACACACACACACACACACACACACACACACACACACACACACACACACACACACACACACACACACAGGGCCAGACACACAGACACACAGGGCCAGACACACACACACACAGGGCCAAACACUCAUACACACACAGGGCCAGACACACACACACAGGGCCAGGCACACACACAGGGCCAGGUACACACACACAGGGCCAGGCACACACACACACAGGGACACACACACACACACACACACACACACACACACAGGGCCAGACACACACACAGGGCCAAACACACAUACACAGACACACACACACACAGAGCCGUGCACACACCAAUGGUCAGACAUAGACACACACACACAGGGACAGACACACACACACACAGGGCCAGGCACACACACACAGGGCCAGAUACACACACACACAGGGUCAGACACACACACACACACACACACACACACACACACACACAAACACACACUCAGGGCCAGACACACACACACACACAAGGCCAUAGACACCCACACACAGGGCCAGACACACACACACACACACACACACACACAGGGCCAGACACACACACACACACACACAAACACACACUCAGGGCCAGACACACACACACACACACACAAGGCCAUACACACCCACACACAGGGCCAGACACACACACACACACACACACACACACACACACACACACACACACAGGGCCAGGCACAAACACACAGGGCUAGACACACACACACAGGGCCAGACACACACACACACACGGAGCCAGGCACACACACACCAGUCCAGACACAGACACACACACACACACACACACAGGGCCAGACACACACACACAGGGCCAGGCACACACACACAGGGCCAGACACACACACACACAGGGCCAGACACACACACACACAGGGCCAGACACACACACACAGGGCCAGGCACACACAUACAGGGCCAGAAACACACACACACACACACAGGGCCAGACACACAGACACACACACAGAGCCAGACACACACACACACACAGAGCCAGACACACACACACACACAGAGCCAGACACACACACACACACACACACACACACACACACACACACACACACACACACACACACACACACAGGGCCAGACACACAGACACACACACAGGGCCAGACACACACACACACACACACGCACACACACACACACACACACACACACACACACACACACACAGGGCCAGACACACAGACACACACACAGGUCCAGACACACACACACGCAGGGCCAGACACACACACACACACACAGGGCCAGACACACAGACACACACACAGGUCCAGACACACACACACACACACACACACAGGGCCAGACACACACACACAGGGCCAGGCACACACACACAGGGCCGGACACACACACACACAGGGCCAGACACACACACACAGGGCCAGGCACACACACACAGGGCCAGAAACACACACACACACACAGGGCCAGACACACAGACACACACACAGAGCCAGACCCCCCCCCACACACACACACACACACACACACACACACACACACACACACACACACACACACACAGACACACACACAGGGCCAGACACACACACACACAGGGCCAGACACACAGACACACACACAGGUCCAGACACACACACAGGGCCAGACACACAGACACACACACAGGUCCAGACACACACACACACACACACACACACACACAGGGUUAGCUAAAGGCAUCAAACUGCCCUGGCCAAUACAGGUAUUCCCUCUUUCUCUCUCUCUGGACUGAUCUCAGUCUGCAGGACCACUUUUCCUAACCACCAAGGCCUGUAUUCACAAAGCAUCUCAGAGUAGGAGUGCUGAUCUAGGAUCCAUUUAGCCUUGUAGAUCACAAUGAGCAAAAAUGUGGGGAACUGAUCUUAGAUCGGCAUUCCCACUCUGAGAUACCUUGUGAAUUAGCUCCCUAGCCAAUACAGACCCCCCCUCUUUCUCCCUCUCUCUCCCUCUCUCUCCUUCUCUCUGUUGGCUGUCUCCAGGAUCACUGUUCCUAACUAUCAGAAACUGGCAUCAUUACCCAGUGAUAGGGCCUGUAGCACAGAGACAUCUAGACCAGGGUUCUAAAACCCUGUUCCUGAACAGCUACAGUACCCACCUGUAGGUUUUCAACCCACACUCAGUUGUAACUAACCCGAUUCAGCUUAUCAAGCGGCUGAUUAUUAGAAUCAACUGUGCUAGAUUAGGGUUGGAGUGAAAACCUGCAGGACGGUAGCUCUCCAGGAACAGGGUUGGAAAAUCUAAAAAAGUGAGUAUGUUUAACAAUUUCAUAAAAGCAGCAAUCAAGACUAGGAGGAAGGGUAGGCCAGCCAAUAAAGACGAGUCUUAAAGCCUGCUUUAAGAGCAGCAACAGUCUGAGCAGCCCUGAGAUUGUCAGGAAGGGAGUUCCCAAAGGCUUGGUGAGUGGGAGGAAAAGGCACGCUCCCCCAUUGUUUGGAGCCGGGUCCUGGGGGCAUGAAGCAGUGUGGCGUAGCUUAACCGCGGGGUGCAUGGAGGUUCAUAAGGGCUGUUUUGAAUGAGCUGUAAUUUAUGAAUUAAGUUGGCAGGCAGGCCCCCAAGUACUGCAUUCCCAUAAUCAAUUCUGGAGAAAACAAAUGGAUAAGCUGUUCUGCGUCAGAAUCAGUGAAAGAGGGCCUUAGGUGGGAGAUCUUCAGGUGAAAGAAUGACAUUUUACCCCUAGGACAUUGAAGGACACAGCAGGGUCGAAUUUCACACCCGGGAUUGUGAUGGCUGAGGAGAGGAGGAUGAUGUGGCCAUCUAUAGCAUGGCGGAUGCUGCAGGAAUUUGUGAUCUGCUGGGUGGAGCCUAUCAGCAUUGCCUCUGUCUUGCUGCUGUUGAGUUUGAGGAAGUUGUUGUGCAUCCGAGACUUAACCUCUUCCAGACAGUUGGACAAGGUUGACAGAGCAGAUGUUGUGUCAGGCUUGGUUUUAAUGCACACCUGUGUGUCGUCUGAGUAGCAGUGGAAUUGGACACUGUGCUGUCUGAAGAUCUGGCCAAGUGGGUGCAUGUAGAGCAGGAAGAGAAUGGGUCCUAGCAGCAAUCCUGGUGGGACACCGCAGGUUAUAGUGGACUCCUCUGAUCUUGCCUCACCGAGGGGGACGUAGGUGCAUAGGCUGGAAGAGAUAAACCACAGAAAAGUGUAGCACCCACCCGGGUGAUGCUUCAGCAGCUAUAGGCGCCUGAGAGAACACCACACCUUAGCAACAGUCUCCUACGAGGCAAGCCUCUGUCAUCCCCUCUCACCACAGUCCACAUUCUUCCAGAAACCGAGGAAGAAACAGCCGGUGCAUCAUUCAAAUUCAGUGUAGCCAUCUAGCUAGCCAAGCCAAGACUUGCCACCGUCAGUCCUGCAAAUCCAUGGGUAACCACCAGAUAUUGUAGCUCAACCCUCAAAUACAGAAUAUAUAUAUAUAUAUAUAUAUUUUUUUUUAACAAUAUUUACAGAGCUCUCGGCACCAUGGCAGUCAACAAUUACAAAAUCAUGUUUAUUUUCUUUGGCUGAGAAUGUAAAAUGUACAACUUUCAGACAGCAUCCAUGGGCUAGAAUUUUGCAUAUAGAAUGU
ensembl:lncRNA